rnacentral:lncRNA from 1 species
CCUGGACUUCGCUGGCUUCCUUCUGCGUGUGUCCAGGCGCCCAGGUCUUCCCAGCAGGCAGUGUGGCAGGCGGAGCAGCCACCACAGCCCGGAACGUUUGGGGUGGAACCUGGACAUCUUGAGCCCAAACUCGGCAAGAUCAGCUGUGUUCUCUUCUUGAGUUUUCCCUUCUCAGAAACCUUUAGGAGAACACAGGCCCCCAGUGUGAGUCACUGGUUCAAACUGGAGAUGUCCCCUGAGGGGGAUCAGAGCUACACUGACACUUGUCAGGGUGCAAGUGAUGCUGCUGUAACAAAAGACCCAAGACACAGCAGUGUGGACGGGCGGCAUCCCUUUCUCUUGUGCACAGGGCUGGUGUGGUGGCCUGGCAGGGGUGAGGACCCAGCUCCUGUCUCUUUCCCUAGCCACGUGGAGCAGCCCGCAUCCCUGGGAGCCCUCAGCCCUAACAUCAGCCGCUCCUUCCGGGAGCUCGGGCUCCUGCCGGUGAGAAACACUGCGGAAAACAGGGUCGGCGGCCUUUCUGCAGGCACCAGGCACGCUGUCACAUGAGCCCAGACGGCACUGACUGCAGCUUCUGGGUGGCUUCUCCCAGCCCCACACAGGCAGAAGCACACAUGGGGUGAGCCUGCCCCUCCCAUCCAGCCCAGACUGCUGUGUGGCAAAGCGGGUCCCUGGACUACCUGGACCACUUACAUCUCCUCUUCAUUUCUGCGGUGGCUCUGAACCUCGUGUGGGAUAUGACUGGUCCCAGAUUUCCCUCUCCUGUGCUCACCCCUUUGAUUUAAUUUACUGUAAAGCACUGAGCAGCUUCUGCGCUGGGUGUGGGCAGGGAGCAUCCCCUCGCCCCCCUCACCGGCCUCCCUGGGGGGCCCUGGUGGCUUUCGGGGUGGCUUCCUGCAGGCCUACUUUGGAAGGUGGCCAGGCCUGUGCACACCUGGUCCCCUGCCUCACCAACAGACGACACCCGCAUGUGCACACGUGCCCUCAGUCUCCUCCUGGGACACAUCCCUGACAUCAUGG